rnacentral:rRNA from 1 species
CCUACGGGAGGCAGCAGUGAGGAAUAUUGGUCAAUGGUCGGGAGACUGAACCAGCCAAGCCGCGUGAGGGAGGAAGGUACAGAGUAUCGUAAACCUCUUUUGUCAGGGAACAAAGACUGGGACGCGUCCCCGGAUGAGUGUACCUGAAGAAAAAGCAUCGGCUAACUCCGUGCCAGCAGCCGCGGUAAUACGGGGGAUGCGAGCGUUAUCCGUAUUUAUUGGGUUUAAAGGGUGCGCGGGCGGUCUGUUAAGUCAGCGGGCAAAGCCCGGGGCAACACCCCGGUCCGCCGUUGAAACUGGCAGUCGAGAGUUGGAGAGAAGUAUGCGGAAUGCGCGGUGUAGCGGUGAAAUGCAUAGAUAUCGCGCAGAACUCCGAUUGCGAAGGCAGCAUGCCGGCUCCACACUGACGCUGAGGCACGAAAGCGUGGGUAUCGAACAGGAUUAGAUACCCCUGUAGUC